UUCAAAUCCAACUUAUUUGAGGUCUGCAUGCAGUGUUCUCUGAUCACUCAAGUAACUUGAUUCUUAACAAGAACUUAACAAGGUUCUUAACAAGAACUAUGAUUCAUUAUCUUUUCGUAUUCACCUGUUUCAGAAAUUCUUCAUGAUAUAAACAACUUCAAGAAACACAGAGAAGCUGAAAAGUCAAGGUAUUUUCUGCAAUCAUUUACUGCAAAGACCCAGGAAGCAGAUGAAGGCUGAUGAGUGGACUGCAAAUCACUGGGAUGCAGAGAGCAGCACAGAAGGGGCUCAGGAAGAACACACUGCCUUCCACCGAAAAUUUUCUUCUGAUUUAUUCGCAGGUAGAAGAAUUCUGCAGACUUUAAAAUGUAAAGCAAGUAUGCCCUGUAGAAAAAUGAGUAAAAUAAGUGCAGCAGACACUGAAGUUGAGCAGAAACAAGAGAAACCACUUUGGUCAGAGAGGUGAGCCCAUCAGAAAUGGGAGUUGAAAAUGUACUGCAAAAAUAUUAGGAAGUGUGAGCUUUUAUUGUCAGGAAGAAUUAUUUGAAAUACUUUUUUUUCCACUUGUAUUUUU
rnacentral:lncRNA from 12 species